CGAAAGCCUGACGGAGCAAGACCGCGUGAGGGAGGAAGGCUCUUGGGUUGUAAACCUCUUUUGUCAGGGAAGAACACAAUGACGGUACCUGAAGAAUCAGCAUCGGCUAACUCCGUGCCAGCAGCCGCGGUAAUACGGNGGAUGCAAGCGUUAUCCGGAAUUAUUGGGCGUAAAGCGUCCGCAGGUGGCUAAUCAAGUCUGCUGUCAAAGGUUGGGGCUUAACCCCAAAAAGGCAGUGGAAACUGANAAGCUAGAGUGCAGUAGGGGUANAGGGAAUUCCCNGUGUAGCGGUGAAAUGCGUAGAGAUUGGGAAGAACAUCGGUGGC
rnacentral:rRNA from 1 species